rnacentral:rRNA from 1 species
UACAGAGGUCCCGGGCGUUGUUCGGAUUCACUGGGCGUAAAGGGUGCGUAGGUGGUGAGGUAAGUCGGAUGUGAAAUCUCCGGGCUCAACCCGGAAAUGGCAUUGGAAACUACCUUGCUAGAGGAUUUGAGGGGGGAUUGGAAUACUUGGUGUAGCAGUGAAAUGCGUAGAUAUCAAGUGGAACACCAGUGGCGAAGGCGAAUCCCUGGAAAAUACCUGACACUGAGGCACGAAAGCUAGGGGAGCAAACAGG